GGUUAAGUUAGAAAGGGCGCACGGUGGAUGCCUUGACACUAGGAGUCGAUGAAGGACGGGACUAACGCCGAUAUGCUUCGGGGAGCUGUAAGUAAGCUUUGAUCCGAAGAUUUCCGAAUGGGGAAACCCACCAUACGUAAUGGUAUGGUAUCCUUAUCUGAAUACAUAGGGUAAGGAAGACAGACCCAGGGAACUGAAACAUCUAAGUACCUGGAGGAAGAGAAAGCAAAUGCGAUUUCCUGAGUAGCGGCGAGCGAAACGGAACAUAGCCCAAACCAAGAGGCUUGCCUCUUGGGGUUGUAGGACAUUCUAUACGGAGUUACAAAGGAACGAGGUAGACGAAGCGACCUGGAAAGGUCCGUCGUAGAGGGUAACAACCCCGUAGUCGAAACUUCGUUCUCUCUUGAAUGUAUCCUGAGUACGGCGGAACACGUGAAAUUCCGUCGGAAUCUGGGAGGACCAUCUCCCAAGGCUAAAUACUCCCUAGUGAUCGAUAGUGAACCAGUACCGUGAGGGAAAGGUGAAAAGCACCCCGGAAGGGGAGUGAAAGAGAUCCUGAAACCGUGUGCCUACAAAUAGUCAGAGCCCGUUAACGGGUGAUGGCGUGCCUUUUGUAGAAUGAACCGGCGAGUUACGAUCCCGUGCGAGGUUAAGCUGAAGAGGCGGAGCCGCAGCGAAAGCGAGUCUGAAUAGGGCGUUUAGUACGUGGUCGUAGACCCGAAACCAGGUGAUCUACCCAUGUCCAGGGUGAAGUUCAGGUAACACUGAAUGGAGGCCCGAACCCACGCACGUUGAAAAGUGCGGGGAUGAGGUGUGGGUAGCGGAGAAAUUCCAAUCGAACCUGGAGAUAGCUGGUUCUCCCCGAAAUAGCUUUAGGGCUAGCCUUAAGUGUAAGAGUCUUGGAGGUAGAGCACUGAUUGGACUAGGGGUCCUCAUCGGAUUACCGAAUUCAGUCAAACUCCGAAUGCCAAUGACUUAUCCUUAGGAGUCAGACUGCGAGUGAUAAGAUCCGUAGUCAAAAGGGAAACAGCCCAGACCGCCAGCUAAGGUCCCAAAGUGUGUAUUAAGUGGAAAAGGAUGUGGAGUUGCUUAGACAACUAGGAUGUUGGCUUAGAAGCAGCCACCAUUUAAAGAGUGCGUAAUAGCUCACUAGUCGAGUGACUCUGCGCCGAAAAUGUACCGGGGCUAAAUACACCACCGAAGCUGCGGAUUGAUACCAAUGGUAUCAGUGGUAGGGGAGCGUUCUAAGGACAGUGAAGUCAGACCGGAAGGACUGGUGGAGUGCUUAGAAGUGAGAAUGCCGGUAUGAGUAGCGAAAGACGGGUGAGAAUCCCGUCCACCGAAUGCCUAAGGUUUCCUGAGGAAGGCUCGUCCGCUCAGGGUUAGUCAGGACCUAAGCCGAGGCCGACAGGCGUAGGCGAUGGACAACAGGUUGAUAUUCCUGUACCACCUCUUUAUCGUUUGAGCAAUGGAGGGACGCAGAAGGAUAGAAGAAGCGUGCGAUUGGUUGUGCACGUCCAAGCAGUUAGGCUGAUAAGUAGGCAAAUCCGCUUAUCAUAAAGGCUGAGCUGUGAUGGGGAAGCUCCUUAUGGAGCGAAGUCUUUGAUUCCCCGCUGCCAAGAAAAGCUUCUAGCGAGAUAAAAGGUGCCUGUACCGCAAACCGACACAGGUAGGCGAGGAGAGAAUCCUAAGGUGUGCGAGAGAACUCUGGUUAAGGAACUCGGCAAAAUGACCCCGUAACUUCGGGAGAAGGGGUGCUUUCUUAACGGAAAGCCGCAGUGAAUAGGCCCAAGCGACUGUUUAGCAAAAACACAGCUCUCUGCGAAGCCGUAAGGCGAAGUAUAGGGGGUGACACCUGCCCGGUGCUGGAAGGUUAAGGAGAGGGGUUAGCGUAAGCGAAGCUCUGAACUGAAGCCCCAGUAAACGGCGGCCGUAACUAUAACGGUCCUAAGGUAGCGAAAUUCCUUGUCGGGUAAGUUCCGACCCGCACGAAAGGUGUAACGAUUUGGGCACUGUCUCAACCAGAGACUCGGUGAAAUUAUAGUACCUGUGAAGAUGCAGGUUACCCGCGACAGGACGGAAAGACCCCGUGGAGCUUUACUGUAGCCUGAUAUUGAAUUUUGGUACAGUUUGUACAGGAUAGGCGGGAGCCAUUGAAACCGGAGCGCUAGCUUCGGUGGAGGCGCUGGUGGGAUACCGCCCUGACUGUAUUGAAAUUCUAACCUACGGGUCUUAUCGACCCGGGAGACAGUGUCAGGUGGGCAGUUUGACUGGGGCGGUCGCCUCCUAAAGUGUAACGGAGGCGCCCAAAGGUUCCCUCAGAAUGGUUGGAAAUCAUUCGUAGAGUGCAAAGGCAUAAGGGAGCUUGACUGCGAGACCUACAAGUCGAGCAGGGACGAAAGUCGGGCUUAGUGAUCCGGUGGUUCCGCAUGGAAGGGCCAUCGCUCAACGGAUAAAAGCUACCCCGGGGAUAACAGGCUUAUCUCCCCCAAGAGUCCACAUCGACGGGGAGGUUUGGCACCUCGAUGUCGGCUCAUCGCAUCCUGGGGCUGUAGUCGGUCCCAAGGGUUGGGCUGUUCGCCCAUUAAAGCGGUACGCGAGCUGGGUUCAGAACGUCGUGAGACAGUUCGGUCCCUAUCCGUCGUGGGCGUAGGAAAUUUGAGAGGAGCUGUCCUUAGUACGAGAGGACCGGGAUGGACGCACCGCUGGUGUACCAGUUGUUCUGCCAAGGGCAUAGCUGGGUAGCUAUGUGCGGAAGGGAUAAGUGCUGAAAGCAUCUAAGCAUGAAGCCCCCCUCAAGAUGAGAUUUCCCAUAGCGUAAGCUAGUAAGAUCCCUGAAAGAUGAUCAGGUUGAUAGGUUCGAGGUGGAAGCAUGGUGACAUGUGGAGCUGACGAAUACUAAUAGAUCGAGGACUUAACCAU
rnacentral:rRNA from 2 species